AUGGAGGUAUGUCUGCUAGUGAUUCUCAUAAUUUCAGGUGUGUUUGCUGACAGCAUUAAACCAAACGACAAGGAUACUGAUAUGAUCAAGAGAGAAGGAGAGCCUGUGACACUGAGCUGCACAUAUGAUACAAGCAGCAAUUAUGUUUAUCUUUACUGGUACAGACAGUAUCCUAAUAGAGAACCUCAGUAUUUACCUUAUAAAGGUGCUCGGUCAUAUAGCAGAAAUGAGGAUAUACCAGACCGGUUUCAGUCGACUACAUCCCAAACAUCCACUGAAAUCACUAUUAAGAGUGUAACUCUGACAGAUUCAGCUCUCUAUUACUGUGCUCUGAGAGUUGGAACCCAGUGA